rnacentral:rRNA from 1 species
GACAGAGGUCCCGAGCGUUAGGCGGAAUCACUGGGCUUAAAGCGUGUGUAGGCGGAUCGUUAAGUACCUUGUGAAAUCCCACGGCUAACCGUGGAACUGCUUGGUAUACUGGCGUCUUGAGCCACUUAGGGGCUACCGGAACAAAUGGUGGAGCGGUGAAAUGCGUAGAUAUCAUUUGGAACGCCAAUGGUGAAAACAGGUAGCUGGGAGUGUGCUGUACGCUGAGACACGAAAGCCAGGGGAGCAAACGGGG